CCAGGCUAGAAUAAUGGAGUAGGUAGACUUCCCCUUCUCCAGGGGAUCUUCCCAACCCAGGGACUGAACCCAGGUCUCCUGUAUUGCUUCUGGGACCCCAGUUAUGUUGAUUCAGAGCCCACCACACUCCACUGUGACCUCUCCUCAGUCACUGACAUCUGCAGUCAGGUCCCAUUUGGAGAUUAAGGAUGAUCUCUGUUGGGCCCUGGAGCCGGAGGGGACAUGCUGGUUGGAUUGGCCCUUCCUUUGGCCUUGCUGAAGGGCCUGCUGAGUUUUCAGAUCAUCUGAAGCUUUAAUCUAGGACCUAGGAAGCCUCGAGUGCCCAUGUGGUGGAGCCUGUGACCCUGCGGCACAGCACAGCACUCCAGCUUAGCUGGUGUUUGGUGGCCUGAGCUGGAGGUGACCCUCAGAGCCCCCAGAGAGAUCUGGAAUUGAAUCCCAGCUCUCCUGGGUGUGACUUUGAGUAAAUUGUUUAACAUCUUUGAGGCUGAUUUUCUUCAUUUCGAAAUGGGAG
ensembl:lncRNA